rnacentral:rRNA from 1 species
GACGAACGCUGGCGGCGUGCUUAACACAUGCAAGUCGAACGGAAAGGCCCUGCUUUUGUGGGGUGCUCGAGUGGCGAACGGGUGAGUAACACGUGAGUAACCUGCCCUUGACUUUGGGAUAACUUCAGGAAACUGGGGCUAAUACCGGAUAGGAGCUCCUGCUGCAUGGUGGGGGUUGGAAAGUUUCGGCGGUUGGGGAUGGACUCGCGGCUUAUCAGCUUGUUGGUGGGGUAGUGGCUUACCAAGGCUUUGACGGGUAGCCGGCCUGGGAGGGUGACCGGCCACAUUGGGACUGAGAUACGGCCCAGACGCCUACGGGAGGCAGCAGUGGGGAAUAUUGCACAAUGGGCGGGAGCCUGAUGCAGCAACGCCGCGUGCGGGAUGACGGCCUUCGGGUUGUAAACCGCUUUCGCCUGUGACGAAGCGUGAGUGACGGUAAUGGGUAAAGAAGCACCGGCUAACUACGUG